AUUAUUUCUCAUAGUGUAUAGAGUGAAAAUUCAAAGUGAAUUCACAUACAAAGCAAAUGAUGAGCAUUGGGGAAACAGUUAGUGUGAAGCAAGAGCCAAAUGAUAUCCUGUAGGGUAUAGGCGAUGAUUUUGUUUUCGACCCGAUCAACUCAUACAAAGUUAAAAAUGUUGAAACAUCGCCAUUUUAUGAAUCAUCAGCUGAUCACAUUAAUCAAGAUAAUAAAUUAGAUGAAAAAGUAUCCAUAGAAUUCGAGUGCAAAGAUGUUAAAUCUGAAUCGACGUCUCUAUCGAAAAACAUUUGCAAAUCUGAGAAUAUACAUUAUCCACCAGUUGAAGGAAUAAAUAACCAAGUUCAGACAAAGUACUUGAACCAUAAGGAUCCGAUAAUUUUGAUAAAAGAAGAAUUCGAUUAUGACGAUAACUAUCCACUUCCAGAAAAAUCCCAAUUGAAGUUAGGUGAACCCAAGAAAGUGAAAAUAUUUAAUGAAAAAACAAAAACCAUAUUGUCUCAUAAACUUAAUUGUUAUAAAAUAAUUUACA